rnacentral:rRNA from 1 species
AUAUUGGACAAUGGGCGCAAGCCUGAUCCAGCAAUGCCGCGUGAGUGAAGAAGGCCUUAGGGUUGUAAAGCUCUUUCGCCCGCGACGAUGAUGACGGUAGCGGGAGAAGAAGACCCGGCUAAUUCCGUGCCAGCAGCCGCGGUAAUACGGAAGGGGCUAGCGUUGUUCGGAAUCACUGGGCGUAAAGCGCGCGUAGGCGGCCUUGCAAGUGCGGCGUGAAAGUCCUGGGCUCAACCUGGGGACGGCGCUGCGGACUGCAUGGCUGGAGUCCGGAAGAGGGUGGUGGAAUUCCGAGUGUAGAGGUGAAAUUCGUAGAUAUUCGGAGGAACACCGGUGGCGAAGGCGGCCACCUGGUCCGGUACUGACGCUGAAGCGCGAAAGCGUGGGGAGCAAAC